rnacentral:rRNA from 1 species
UACGUAGGUGGCAAGCGUUGUCCGGAUUUACUGGGCGUAAAGGGCGUGCAGGCGGUCUGUUAAGUCUAGGGUGAAAGCUCCCGGCUCAACUGGGAGAGGUCCUUGGAUACUGGCGGACUUGAGGGAUGCAGAGGAAAGUGGAAUUCCCGGUGUAGUGGUGAUAUGCGUAGAUAUCGGGAGGAACACCAGUGGCGAAGGCGACUACCUGGCCUGUUUCUUGACGCUGAGGCGCGAAAGCUAGGGGAGCAAACGGG